UUGCCAUCAUUCAGUUGGGCACUCUAGCGAGACUGCCGGUAAUAAACCGGAGGAAGGUGGGAUGACGUCAAAUCAUCAUGCCCCUUAUGACCUGGGCUACACACGUGCUACAAUGGUUGGUACAACGAGUUGCGAGUCGGUGACGGCGAGCUAAUCUCUUAAAGCCAAUCUCAGUUCGGAUUGUAGGCUGCAACUCGCCUACAUGAAGUCGGAAUCGCUAGUAAUCGCGGAUCAGCACGCCGCGGUGAAUACGUUCCCGGGCCUU
rnacentral:rRNA from 1 species